AGACCUUCGGGUCUAGUGGCGGACGGGUUAGUAACGCGUGGGAACGUGCCUUUCACUACGGAAUAGUCCCGGGAAACUGGGUUUAAUACCGUAUACGCCCUUCGGGGGAAAGAAUUUCGGUGAAAGAUCGGCCCGCGUUAGAUUAGGUAGUUGGUGGGGUAAUGGCCUACCAAGCCUACGAUCUAUAGCUGGUUUUAGAGGAUGAUCAGCAACACUGGGACUGAGACACGGCCCAGACUCCUACGGGAGGCAGCAGUGGGGAAUCUUGGACAAUGGGCGCAAGCCUGAUCCAGCCAUGCCGCGUGAGUGAUGAAGGCCUUAGGGUCGUAAAGCUCUUUCGCCAGGGAUGAUAAUGACAGUACCUGGUAAAGAAACCCCGGCUAACUCCGUGCCAGCAGCCGCGGUAAUACGGAGGGGGUUAGCGUUGUUCGGAAUUACUGGGCGUAAAGCGCACGUAGGCGGAUUGGAAAGUUGGGGGUGAAAUCCCAGGGCUCAACCCUGGAACUGCCUCCAAAACUACCAGUCUAGAGUUCGAGAGAGGUGAGUGGAAUUCCGAGUGUAGAGGUGAAAUUCGUANAUAUUCNGAGGAACNCCAGUGGCGAAGGCGGCUCACUGGCUCGAUACUGACGCUGAGGNGCGAAAGUGUGGGGAGCAAACAAGAUUAGAUACCCUG
rnacentral:rRNA from 1 species